GCAACUGGAGGGAAGAGCAGGCAAACCCACAUGAGUGGACAGAAAAAGCACAUGUCCAUCAUUACUGAGGAAGUACCAUCUGUGUCCAGCAUCGUGUUCCACAUUCCAAGUGUUAACAUAUGCACACCCUGUUCUAAGGCAGGAGAGUUUUUGAAGCAGCUUGCAAGCUGGUUAGUCAGUUCACAAAGUAUGAUUUGGAAAUAUUUCUGUGCUGUAGACGACACAGAAGAGAUGACCUGAGUACACUGUUUCUGUGUUGAUGUGAAGAAAGCGGGGGAGACAUUUUGGGGGGACUUUUUGUCAUGCUGGUCAAAAGGGUCAAUAUUUUGAAAAUUAAUAGAACCACUCGAUGCCUAGGACUCAAAGCAAAAACACAGCAAAGUAUACAGAUCAUUAAAUUAACACUGACCAAGUACAGGAUGAUCUCAGUGUUGUCUUUAGAUAAUUGUAGACUUAUUGGAUCUAGAGAGCACCAGAAUAAACUCCUCUUAAGUCACUUUCAACCAUCAGUGAGUUCAUGAAAGUGAGGUUUUACUAUUGGUAAAGUCUAUUUCAAAAUGAGAAAGCCAGUAAGCACUGUAUGUCUCAGACUAAGAAUUAAAUAAGAAAUGAGUAAUAAAAAAACAAUUUUGGAAAGUGAAGUUUUGAUAGAGACAGGGUUUUCCAAAUAGUUUGAAGGAGAGAAUUUAGCCAGCAUGAAGGAAAGGGGCCUAUGGUCUAAUCAGAGAUCUGGAAAAGGCAUAUGUGUACAAAGUAACUAGAAAUUGGAGCAUUAGAAAGUUAUUUGCGGGUAUAAGCAGGAGAAGAAAGAAAGACUCAAUUGUAAACAUUUGUGAUAGUAUGGGCAUUAAGAGGUAUUUGUUCAGUCUUCAUCCAUCCAUCCAUCCAUCCAUCCAUCCAUCCAUCCAUCCAUCCAUCCAUCCAUCCAUCAUCCAUCUUUCUAACCCACUGACAUUUAAGUAAAGGUAUAAGGCAAUGUGGUUAGACAUGACCUCUGUCUCCAAAGCUGACUGUCUAGGAGUUAAGUUAGUGUGACUUUAUAUGUGAUUAAUCUAUCCAUGAUACUAUAACUCAAUGCCAUAGAUUCUUUAGUAUAAAUUUUAACAGAGUGCUAUAUGGAAUUGCAGGAUUAAGAGCCUGGGGAUAAAAUAGAGACCAAACGAAUGGUAGACUAGAUUACAGCCUGGGGCAGAUUGGUUGGGUUUUAUGUAGAAGACAAGACAGAAGGCAUUUAAAAGUCCUGAGGAUGUGACAUGUAGGAAUGGGUUGAGGAAGAAUGAGUGAGUUAACCCUUUGUGGCACAUUUUUAAUUGAAUAAUUUGGUCGAUACAGUGAAGACUUGCAGCUAAAUUGCCAAAAGUUGCAUUAAAAGCCAAUGUAGUAGUGCAUCAAUAAAGCCAGAGAAGAGACAGACACUGGGAGACAAAACAGGAGGCCAGCGGGGCAAAAACCAAACGGAACAAAGAAAAAAACCUCUGUUAAGGAGGCUUAAAAAAAUAGAACAUAUUUUGAAAGGACUUGCUAAAAAGGAGAGUCAACUGCUAAGGCGAUAAGUAUGAAAAGAAUACAGAAUUGGGGGGAAAAAAGAUCAAUGCUGAAAGCUAAAUAGGGAGAGGGGGUGUGCAGCUGGGCUGAGGACACAGUGUGUAGUAAGCACAAGUCAGGGUGGAAAGUUAGAGAAGCUAAUCACUGAGGGGAAGACUGUGGACAAAUAAGAAGAGAUGCAGAUCUGAAGAGGCCCCUAAAUAGUUGAAGGAAGGAUGUGCCCAGAGAGCAAAGAUGAGAGGGUUGAAGGAAUGGAUCUGGAAUAGGCCAUGCAGAAUGAUUCACAUAGGGUUAGACUGAGCUGAGUGAGUGUACAAAAGAAAAGGUGAAUGGUGGGUGUUUACCUAGCAGAAUGCGAAUCUAUAGCAAUGCUACACACAGCAGGAGGGGCGCUGAAAACUAAGGCCUUUUCUAGGUUUAAGGAGGAACAACCGUAUAGAAUAUCAACAUUAAAGUUAAACCGCAGAUGUAAAAGAGCCAGCACUAAGGAAUGACAGACAUAAAAUGAAAGUUAAGACUAUAUUCUUGGGCCCCAAAUCAGGAAGGAAUGAAAAUGAAAAUGUAGAUUGGAAGCAAAGGGAAGGAAAACAUGUAAGAGGGCUAACUAGUAUAGAAAGUGUAGAAUAAAGAAAUCAAAUGCAAAGUCCUGUCAGAGCUCAGUGUGAAUCUAACUGGUUACAUCUGGGCAUAGAGACCAUGGUGAACAGCAUGAGGAAGAAAGGCCUGAACAGGAAGGGUUGAAGGGAAAUUGGAGGAUUUGGUUGUUAAGGAAGGGAAAGUUUGUAAUGACUAAGAUGCCAGAGUGCUGAUAGGAAGUGACUGAUGACAACUUUAUAGAGAUAACAGGAUUGCUUGGUUGAGGGUGUGGGCAGGUAGCUUGUCCUGAGAAUAGAUUAUUGUUACAAGAUGGCAAAUGAAUGAAGAUUAUGAGGAGGCAAAUACAUCUGAAGAAUUCUGCAUCCAUGGUGACUGCAGUGGUAUGGAAGUGGAAAGGAUGACAGAUACUUCGACGACAUAUGUUGAUUAUUGCAUAGUGUGCCAUUACAAUUGCUGAUAUGAUUUGUGGAGCUUGGCUGACUCUGAGUGACAUGAUACUUAGGAAAUCUUGUGUGAAAGCAUUGCAGAGGAUACCGAAGUUAGAAUCUGAGAAAGAAAAAAGGAAGUAGCAUUUUGGGUGGAAGGACAGAGUGAGUAUGGAGUGUAGGGAAGGGCAUUAUAGAGGGCCAAAAUGAGGGGUGCUUAAAAAUGACACCGUUGAAUUUGUAGGAGUGAAAUGUGUGUUAAGCUAGAUUGUAACCAAAGAUGGAGCAGGAUGUGGCUAUAGAACAGUGUUAUGAAGGAGUAUCAUCUGGUAUUCUUUUCCUGAAUGGCAUCUGAAGCAACCGAUAUGACCAACAGACUUAAGGAUUGAGGAGUAUAAAUGGGAUGGCUCUGAGUUAUGGUCAAUUUUAGGAACUCUCUGAAAGUCUAGACAACACCACAAUUGUACUGAACAUCAUGAUUAAGGAAGAGGAGAGAGACUGGAGACUGGGAGUUAUCUGAAGGAGAGUUAACAGUAAGAGUGGCAUGGGCAGAUAGGUAAUGGUAUUUCCCAAAGUGGCAUCUGUAAGACUGAAAGAAUGUGGGUCUCAGGCCAGAUGAUAGAUCAUAAAGCCAGAUGUAAAAAUCAAGGUGCUGAAUCAGGGAGGGAGUUCUAAUUCAAAGGACUAGGAAGAGAUGGGCUAGGAUGAACUGGUAAAAGGGCACCAGGAGAGGUCUCUGGGUAGUUUGUCUCUAGGAUGGAUGAAUAAUACUGGAAGAGAGUGGCUGAGGAUUAUGAUGAGAAGUCAACUCAAAAGCAAAACUUCAUUUUUAUUUCCAAGGAGAGGUGGGUACGAACAUGUAUGUAAUCAGGCGUAGGAGUGCUAUGUAGAGUGCUACACUCAAGGUUCUGUGCUGUAGGAAGGCGCUGUGUCUUCUGUUUUGUUUCUGGAGAGGGGACAUACACUAGAGAGAACCCGGCUAGAAAGUCCUAUUCAAGAGGAACACAGGUGGUGUCUACAAGAGGGGCUGAUGCUAUUUUAGGACAAGAUAGAGUGGUGAAGAAAGGAAGGGGAAAUGACAGGUACCGAUUGGAGGGAGAAACCCCUUGUUUGGGUCAAAAGACAUGAAGAAGAGAGGUUAAUGCCCUGAAGGAACUUUGUAACCUAGAGAAUGAUUCUGAGGUGACAUGGUAAUAAUGAAAGAGACCAUGGAGCCAUAGAAAUUUCCAGAACUAAACUCUGAUCACAGUGAUGAGUGUACAGAAAGGAGAAAAGGAAGGAGCUGGAGUAAACUUUCUCUUGAUGCCCCCCAGUGUGGAGUUUUUAACUAAAGGGCUUGGUAGAAGGAAAGGCAAGAACAGUGUUUCUUAAAUGUGUUACAAGUAUAAAGUCAGACCUACUGCAUGAGAAAUCCAGGAGGACUCCGCAGGACAGAUGAGGCAUCAGAAUGUUUAAGGUUUGGUAGGGGAGAGACAGGAAAGUUUGAGGUUGGAUUGGCUGGGGUAUUAAGAUUUAUAGAAGCAGUUGGGGGUGAGAAAAGAGAGACACAAUCAGGAAAACAUAUACAUGGGGGUAUGUGCACUUGAAUGGAGAUGAAAUACAUGAAUUGAGGUUCAGAGUGUCAAAUACGAAAGGUCAGAAAGAGGAAUGCAAGUAUUACUAGCACUCAUUCUAAAAGCAAUUAAUAUGUAAAGCUCUUGUACACACACAUACUCACACUCACACACACACACACUCACUCACACAUACUAACACACUCACACCAUGCAGUUAGGAAGCCUGGUACCAGUGGGUUACACUCAGAUACUAAUGCUAAUGAUUCCUUUGUACAUAAUCCUGCUUGGGGUAGCAUAGUUUUUUUUUUGUUUUGUUUUAUGGCCAUAGUACUUCUUAUUAGUAGGCUCAUUUCCUAUAUCAAGGACCGGAAAAAAAAUGCUGUGAAAUAUUCCUGUCAUCUUCCCAAUAAUAUGGGUAAGAUAAGAAACUCAUCAGUUGGUAAGUAAACAUUUUCAAAAUAUUUAUUUGUGUUGUAUGUAUUUAGUAUGUAAGUUAUAACAACUUGUUACUUAUGUUAAAAUAUCACUGUUUCAUCCUAUAGUAUGGGAUCAUUUUGUACCACAUAAAAGUGUGUCUUCUAUUGAAAACUGCAUUUAAAAUAAUUGGACAACUGUCCUUAAACAUGGUUUAUAUUGUAAAACAUUCUUAAAAUUUUCAUAAGCAUUUAAUGAUGGUUGUGAAAAUGCGUUUUUCCCCCCCCCAAAAGGGAGGUGGAUGAAGGCUUUUUAAAACUCAAAAUGCAGUGUGUUUACUAUAAAAAGUGUGUGGGGGGUAAUGAUAAUUGCUGGUAUUUACAAAGCAGCUGAGUCAGAAAGAAGGUGGUGUAGAGAGGUAGUUGUUAAAGGAAGAAAGGAAAAGAGAUCAAGUGAUAACUAAAAAGAGGACUUGGGAGAAAGGGGUAAUGUACAGGAAAGUGUGCACACAAAGAAAGAUACAGUUGAUAGAAAAUUUAGGAAUUUGUGUGUGUGUGUGUGUGUGUGUGUGUGUGUGUGCGUGUGUGCAUGUGUGCGUGCCUGCAGGAGUCUUACCAAGGAACAAAUAGACAACCAGAGCAACUGAGCACAGUGUAGAAAAAGCAGAACUAUGAAAACAGAUUGAGUGAUGAAUGUGUAGCAAAAAGAGGUAUAUGGAUAAGAAAUUAGCUGUCUUCUACCACAGGCAGUAUAGGAAAAAGUAAAUA